GCAGUCGACGGUUUGUAGCAAUACAAAUAGUGGCGCACGGGUGCGUAACGCGUAACCAACCUGCCCUUGACUGGGGGAUAGCCCGCCGAAAGGCGGAUUAAUACCGCAUAAACCAACAGAGUGGCAUCACUUAAUUGGUAAAGAUUUAUUGGUCAAGGAUGGGGUUGCGUAGCAUUAGCUAGUUGGCGGGGUAACGGCCCACCAAGGCGACGAUGCUUAGGGGACCUGAGAGGGUGAUCCCCCACACUGGCACUGAGAUACGGGCCAGACUCCUACGGGAGGCAGCAGUAGGGAAUAUUGGGCAAUGGGCGAGAGCCUGACCCAGCCAUGCCGCGUGCAGGAUGAAGGCCUUCUGGGUUGUAAACUGCUUUUCUCAGGGAAGAAAAAGCCCAUGCGUGGGACACUGACGGUACCUGAGGAAUAAGCACCGGCUAACUCCGUGCCAGCAGCCGCGGUAAUACGGAGGGUGCAAGCGUUGUCCGGAUUUAUUGGGUUUAAAGGGUGCGUAGGCGGCCCGUUAAGUCCGGGGUGAAAGCCCACAGCUCAACUGUGGAACUGCCCUGGAUACUGGCGGGCUUGAGUCCAGACGAGGUUGGCGGAAUGGAAGGUGUAGCGGUGAAAUGCAUAGAUACCUUCCAGAACCCCGAUUGCGUAGGCAGCUGACUAGGCUGGUACUGACGCUGAGGCACGAAAGCGUGGGGAGCGAACAGGAUUAGAUACCCUGGUAGUCCACGCCGUAAACGAUGGAUACUCGCUGGUGGCGAUAGACAGUCACUGGCUUAGCGAAAGCGGUAAGUAUCCCACCUGGGGAGUACGCUCGCAAGAGUGAAACUCAAAGGA
rnacentral:rRNA from 1 species